GGGGCCAUAGCUCAGCUGGGAGAGCGCUUGACUGGCAGUCAAGAGGUCAGGGGUUCGAUCCCCCUUGGCUCCACCA
rnacentral:tRNA from 3 species